rnacentral:rRNA from 1 species
GAUAAACGCUGGCGGCGUGCCUAAUACAUGCAAGUCGAGCGAACGGACGAGAAGCUUGCUUUUCUGAUGUUAGCGGCGGACGGGUGAGUAACACGUGGAUAACCUACCUAUAAGACUGGGAUAACUUCGGGAAACCGGAGCUAAUACCGGAUAAUAUUUUGAACCGCAUGGUUCAAAAGUGAAAGACGGUCUUGCUGUCACUUAUAGAUGGAUCCGCGCUGCAUUAGCUAGUUGGUAAGGUAACGGCUUACCAAGGCAACGAUGCAUAGCCGACCUGAGAGGGUGAUCGGCCACACUGGAACUGAGACACGGUCCAGACUCCUACGGGAGGCAGCAGUAGGGAAUCUUCCGCAAAGGGCGAAAGCCUGACGGAGCAACGCCGCGUGAGUGAUGAAGGUCUUCGGAUCGUAAAACUCUGUUAUUAGGGAAGAACAUAUGUGUAAGUAACUGUGCACAUCUUGACGGUACCUAAUCAGAAAGCCACGGCUAACUACGUG